rnacentral:rRNA from 1 species
GUGAGGAAUAUUGGUCAAUGGGCGGGAGCCUGAACCAGCCAAGUCGCGUGAAGGAAGACGGUUCUAUGAAUUGUAAACUUCUUUUGUGCAGGAAUAAAGUGGGUUACGUGUAACCUUUUGUAUGUACUGUACGAAUAAGGAUCGGCUAACUCCGUGCCAGCAGCCGCGGUAAUACGGAGGAUCCGAGCGUUAUCCGGAUUUAUUGGGUUUAAAGGGUGCGUAGGUGGAUUGAUAAGUCAGCGGUGAAAGUUUGCAGCUUAACUGUAAAAUUGCCGUUGAAACUGUCGGUCUUGAGUGCAAAUGAGGUAGGCGGAAUGUGUUGUGUAGCGGUGAAAUGCUUAGAUAUAACACAGAACUCCGAUUGCGAAGGCAGCUUACUGGGAUGCAACUGACACUGAUGCACGAAAGCGUGGGUAUCAAACAGGAUUAGAUACCCUGGUAGUCC